rnacentral:rRNA from 1 species
GGAGUUUGGACCGUGUCUCAGUUCCAAUGUGGGGGACCUUCCUCUCAGAACCCCUACUGAUCGCCGGCUCGGUGGGCCGUUACCCCGCCGACUACCUAAUCAGACGCAUCCCCAUCCCUUAGCGAUGAAUCUUUGUUCCAUUUUAGAUGUCUGCAUUGGAAAACAUAGGGUAUUAAUCCGACUUUCGCCGGGCU